AACUUUCAACAAUGGAUCUCUUGAAUUUUGCUUCGAUGAAGAACAUAGUGAAAUGUGAUAACUAAUGUGAAAUGCAGAGUAUUGUGAAUCAUCAAGUCUUUGAAUUAUCUUUCAGUCCCUUUACAGGGAUAAUCAUAUGUCAAUAUCAAUACUUAUUAUGUCAGUGGAUUCUGAUAGCGUGACUAUGUUUAAACUUAGUUCUAAAAUAUCAUUGAACGUAUUGUUGUAUCCAAAGUAUUUUUGGUUACAGUAAUUUAUUAAAUGAACCCGGAAAGCAUUCCAUUGCAAAAUGGAAUUCCAUUUCUUGGAAUAAGGUGUAAACCUGUUCAGAUUUGACAUAUGAUGGACUACCCGCUGAACUUAAGCAUAUCAAUAAGCGGAGGCU
rnacentral:misc_RNA from 1 species